GACGAACGCUGGCGGCGUGCUUAACACAUGCAAGUCGAGCGGUAAGGCCCUUUCGGGGGUACACGAGCGGCGAACGGGUGAGUAACACGUGGGUGACCUGCCCUCAGCUCUGGGAUAAGCCUGGGAAACUGGGUCUAAUACCGGACAUGACCUGCUGCUUCAUGGUGGUGGGUGGAAAGUUUUCGGCUGGGGAUGGGCCCGCGGCCUAUCAGCUUGUUGGUGGGGUGAUGGCCUACCAAGGCGACGACGGGUAGCCGGCCUGAGAGGGCGACCGGCCACACUGGGACUGAGACACGGCCCAGACUCCUACGGGAGGCAGCAGUGGGGAAUAUUGCGCAAUGGGCGGAAGCCUGACGCAGCGACGCCGCGUGGGGAUGACGGCCUCGGUGUAACUCUUC
rnacentral:rRNA from 1 species